CCCAUGCUGAAGUUUCAGAGCUGCGUGGCUUACAACAGAAGAAAAUCAGAAGUCUUUGCAACGGAGGCUGAUGCAUUUUUAGAAGCCAGAAGGUAAGCAGAAGCCUCAGUCAGUGGAUGUUCUUAAUGCUUUCUGUCCAUGCAACGUAUUUCAAUUAAGUCGAGGUACUUGUGAUGUAGUAAGAUAAUUUAAAAGA
rnacentral:lncRNA from 1 species